rnacentral:rRNA from 1 species
GUGAGUCAUCGAAUCUUUGAACGCACCUUGCGCUCCUUGGUAUUCCGAGGAGCAUGCCUGUUUGAGUGUCAUUAAUAUAUAUCAACCUUCUCUUGUUGAGUGGUUUGGAUGUGGGGGUUUGCUGGCCUUUUGAAAGGUUUUAGCUCUCCUGAAUGCAUUAGCAGAACAACCCUGUUCAUUGGUGUGAUAACUAUCGACGCUAUUGAAUGUAAAGGGCAGUUUGGCUUUCUAACAGUCCUUGGACAGCUCAUCAUUAAUGUGACCUCAAAUCAGGUAGGACUACCCGCUGAACUUAAGCAUAUCAAUAAGC